rnacentral:rRNA from 1 species
UUGCCUCAGUAACGGCGAGUGAAGCGGCAAGAGCUCAAAUUUGAAAUCUGGCCCCCUCGGGGUCCGAGUUGUAAUUUGCAGAGGAUGCUUCGGGUGCGGCCCCCGUCUAAGUGCCCUGGAACGGGCCGUCAUAGAGGGUGAGAAUCCCGUCUGGGACGGGGUGUCCGCGUCCGUGUGAAGCUCCUUCGACGAGUCGAGUUGUUUGGGAAUGCAGCUCUAAAUGGGUGGUAAAUUUCAUCUAAAGCUAAAUACUGGCCGGAGACCGAUAGCGCACAAGUAGAGUGAUCGAAAGAUGAAAAGCACUUUGAAAAGAGAGUUAAAAAGCACGUGAAAUUGUUGAAAGGGAAGCGCUUGCGACCAGACUCGCCCGCGGGGUUCAGCCGGCAUUCGUGCCGGUGUACUUCCCCGUGGGCGGGCCAGCGUCGGUUUGGGCGGCCGGUCAAAGGCCUCCGGAAUGUAGCACCCUUCGGGGUGCCUUAUAGCCGGGGGUGCAAUGCGGCCAGCCUGGACCGAGGAACGCGCUUCGGCACGGACGCUGGCAUAAUGGUCGUAAACGACCCGUCUUGAAACACGGACCAAGGAGUCUAACAUCUACGCGAGUGUUCGGGUGUCAAACCCGUGCGCGCAGUGAAAGCGAACGGAGGUGGGAGCCCCCCCGCGGGGCGCACCAUCGACCGAUCCUGAUGUCUUCGGAUGGAUUUGAGUAAGAGCGUAAAUGUGGGGACCCGAAAGAUGGUGAACUAUGCCUGAAUAGGGCGAAGCCAGAGGAAACUCUGGUGGAGGCUCGCAGCGGUUCUGACGUGCAAAUCGAUCGUCAAAUUUGGGUAUAGGGGCGAAAGACUAAUCGAAACCAUCUGGUAGCUGGAUACAUGCGAGU